rnacentral:misc_RNA from 1 species
GAUGAAGAACGUAGCGAAAUGCGAUAAGUAGUGUGAAUUGCAGAAUUCAGUGAAUCAUCGAAUCUUUGAACGCACAUUGCGCCCCUUGGUAUUCCAUGGGGCAUGCCUGUUCGAGCGUCAUUUGUACCUUCAAGCCUUGCUUGGUGUUGGGUGUUUGUCUCGCCUUUGCGUGUAGACUCGCCUUAAAAUAAUUGGCAGCCGGCGUAUUGAUUUCGGAGCGCAGUACAUCUCGCGCUUUGCACUCAUAACGACAGCGUCCAAAAGUACAUUUUACACUCUUGACCUCGGAUCAGGUAGGGAUACCCGCUGAACUUAAGCAUAUCAAUAAGCGGAGGA